GUGAACAGUAUUUAGUUGAUUUCCGAUCUUAAAAUCUAUACGAUCGAGAUUUUUAGAAACGGAGCGAAAUCUAAAAUGAAAUGGACCUGAGAAAUUUCUGACGUCGACUCCGAUCAAUUUGACUAGAGGGAUCAAAUGAUGCGAGACAGAAGCAGAGUCUUAAAGUGAAUUGAGAAGAACUUCUCGAUAAUUCUGGAGCAUAGCUUGAAGAUAGGGAAUUCCGAGGACGACACUCGCUAUAAUUGAUUACUUGACAAUUCGGUCGGACGGACUGUCUAGAACUUGACAAGAGGGAAAACAUACAAUUCAUUUCAUCAUCCGCAAAAGUACAGUUGGUGCUCCUUUUUAAGGUAAGAUUACAAGUCGGUGAGAAAUAUAGACCUAUUACAAAACCACUAAAGAUAUAGGUAAAAGUGCAAUUAAAGUUUAUUACAUUUUCUACUAAUUAUUUACCAUAAAAGGAUAACCUGGCUAAAGGGUUGCAUUUCUGUUGCGAACCCUUCAAUAUUGAAGCUCUGAUUCUCUGAUUCUUCCCCUUCUGAAUCUUGCAGUGCCUCUGAUUUACUAAUUUUUUCAAGCUCUGAGAUUACUGCUUCCAGCUCUUUAUUAUUAUCAACAACUUCAUCAUUGAUUAAUCUGCUCAAAUCAGAUAUAUUGUCCUACAAUAUUGCUAGUAAUUAAUUACCUUUGUCUUUGUUGUAAGUAAAAAAAAUUGAACAAACCAAUUAGUUGCAGGCAUGGUGUUCUGGAAUUGGUUUAAGGGGGACAUGCAUACAUCUAGCAAGAUUUGUAUUAGUUGAAAUUAAGGAAAGAUUUUUCCCAAAGAAAGACAGCAAAAUUUAAAAAUGAGCUUAUAAUAUUCUCCCACCUAGUUUUUUUUCACCCCUACAUUAAUUCAAGUAAUUAUCAAUC
rnacentral:lncRNA from 1 species